AUUAUUAUAGUUUAAAUUAUAAAAUAUCAAAUUGCAAAUUUGAAGAUUAAUUUCAUAAUUAUAAUAAUU
rnacentral:tRNA from 1 species